rnacentral:misc_RNA from 1 species
UAUUACUAUAAGGGGCCA